rnacentral:rRNA from 1 species
GACGAACGCUGGCGGCGUGCUUAACACAUGCAAGUCGAACGGAAAGGCCCUGCUUUUGUGGGGUUCUCGAGUGGCGAACGGGUGAGUAACACGUGAGUAACCUGCCCUUGACUUUGGGAUAACUUCAGGAAACUGGGGCUAAUACCGGAUAGGAGCUCCUGCUGCAUGGGGGGGGUUGGAAAGUUUCGGCGGUUGGGGAUGGACUCGCGGCUUAUCAGCUUGUUGGUGGGGUAGUGGCUUACCAAGGCUUCGACGGGUAGCCGGCCUGAGAGGGUGAACGGCCACAUUGGGACUGAGAUACGGCCCAGACUCCUACGGGAGGCAGCAGUGGAGAAUAUUGCACAAUGGGCGGAAGCCUGAUGCAGCAGCGCCGCGUGCGGGAUGACGGCCUUCGGGUUGUGAACCGCUGUAGCCUGUGACGAAGCGUGAGUGACGGUAAUGGGUAAAGAAGCACCGGCUAACUACGUG